ACAGAGAAAGCGUGGAGAGCCUUAUCCAAAAGCAUUCCUAUGCCCGAUCCCCCAUUCGAACCUAUGGAGGAGAAGACGAUCUGGGAGAUGACAGUCAGGCAACACAAAACAGAGGAUCAGCUUUUACAACAUCUGAUAACCUGUCCCUCAGUUCCUGGGUAUCCUCCUCAACCAAUUUUCCUGGAUUUCAGCAUCCACAGUCAUUGAGUGCCCUGGGUACCAGUGCUGCAUCCAUAGCUACACCCAUCCCUCAUCCAAUCCAAGGAUCUCUGCCUCCAUACAGCCGCUUGGGAAUGCCUCUUACACCCUCUGCAAUAGCGAGCUCCAUGCAAGGUAGUGGCCCCACUUUCCCUUCCUUCCACAUGCCUAGGUACCACCAUUAUUUUCAGCAGGGUCCUUAUGCAGCUAUCCAGGGACUGCGUCACUCCUCCGCAGUGAUGACGCCAUUUGUAUGACUAAUGUAAGACAAGAGAAACACGAGAUUUUAAAUGUGCAAGCUUGGUAUGAAAAAAUACAAGGGACCUUCCUGAAAGGCCAGUGGCAGGAGAGUUCUGAACUCGUAACAAACCAGCUAAGAAAAUGCAUAAUGGAGAUUGAUUCCUCCCUUGAGGGAUCACAAGAAGAGAGCGUGCAGCUUGGAGCUGCUCACAGACCUAUGUGUAACACAGUUGAAAUGGAUCCCAAAGUUCCCAGGAUUUCUGGUCACAUGCAGGUUGUUCCAAAGGUGCAUUCUGCCUUGUGGAAGAAUAUGUUUAUGCAGCAGUGUACAAAUUAAUUGUGUAUAGGUCUUUUUCCAUAUGCUAGAAGGAUUCUGAAAAAGGCAAUACUCUCACUCAUCUCCAUCUCUCCUUGUGACUAAUGAGCAUCUAAACAGAAAAAUGUGUCACUGUAAUUUUGAGCAUGUUUUGGGCUAUCUCAACAUACUUUUGCUGGGAAUAGGACAAAGUGGAGAAGGCCACUGUCCUUUUUGAAAGUCUGUCUUAUAUUCACCAAGAGCAGUAUUUCAUAGUUGCUACUAUAACCUCAAAGAGAAAAUUAUUAACAAGUUUUUUUUUUUCUUCUUUCUCUGUUUCUUUCAUAAAACAGUUAUCAAUUCCAAAAAGAACUGUGUUACAGGACUGUAGCAGUAAUGAUGUAUUCUGUCCUUUGGUCUAACAAUAAGCUUGUCCUGUGUCCUAGGAGGAGCAAUUUAGCUGUCUAUUAAGGUAUCAUGAAGGAAAACGUUGAUUUUCGAAAAAUCUGUUACUUAAACUUAGAGACCCAACACAUAAAAUCUUUAAAUCAAAGAUUCUGUUUGCUGCUGUGCUUGCCACUAAAGAUCUGUGUUCAGCUGCAAAUGUGUACCAUUAAUUAACAGAAUUUCAGGCUGGAUCAGUCUAUAUAUAUUCUAGAUCAACCUAUAAUCAAUAAUCGUCAUAUAAGAUGAAUGGCAUUGGAGUAUCCUUCUACUUAUUCUAAUUUUCUUGUGUUUGGUCAUGGCUGUUAUUAGACAAGCUGUUUGGUCAGGUAAAUGAGGAUUGUAUUGUCUGUUUUUUCAUGUCCCAGUAGAAUGGUGUGUUCUUGGGAAAAUUUCAGUGUCAAACUUUGCGUAUAUAUUUUUUAUUCACAUUUUCCUUUUUUAGUUAGCAAUUAGAGUUCUCAUUCAAAGUACUGUCGACUUUUUCUAGCACAUUGUGUCCAAUACAACUGUAGAGUCAUAGGAAAAAUUGACCUCUCUGCAGAGACCUAGCAUGAGUUUUUUGCACUGUUGAAAAAUGAACCAAUGUGCUGCUGGUUUUCUGCAUGGCGGGAACUGGGAUUUCACUGUAAAUAAGAAGUCAACACAGAGUUUCUGUGUACAGUUGCAUCCAAGUUAUAGAUGAUAAGACAUCUACUCGUUAAAAACAAACAAACAAAAAAGAACUAGCAAUCCAAUCCCAUAUAUCAAAGUUCUGUGCAGAGGUGGAACACAGAUUGGAAAGCAGUAUUUUGGCACUGUUCUCUUCUGCUCUUGAUCAGUGGGUGAUGGCAUCAUAUAGAGGGAAGUGGAGAGCAGUACAAUGAGCCACCUACCUCCCCUCUCAGCAAAGUAAGUGCAAGGCAAGUCACGUUUUUUUUUUGUUGUUGUUGUUCCAUUGCCUCAUCUUAUAUGCCCAGUCACACCAAGCAAUGACAACCUCCCAGACUAUUCCCAGUUUCUAUUGUAGGCCGGUGCAUGCAUCUCACAGAUAAGGGCCAUUUUUAUGUAUUUCCCAGUAGUUGAAUUUAAAAUCCCACAAACUGACCUUUACAAUCACCUCAGUUAUCUGCAGUAUCAUCCUAAUUUCCCUCUACUCACUGAUGGACAUGCUGAUAAAAAAAUGACCUGGGGCAAUUUGCAGCUUUCGUGCUCUGCAUGUGAAUGAAAACAAACUUCUAUUUACAGUAUCUGGGUUCAGAGCUACCAGAAGGAGUUCCAUAAAAGCAUAUAAUGAGCAAAGCUCUGGUUUAGAAUCAGACAUGGACUAAAUUUGUCUUGAUAUGUCAAAAUAUUAAAUUUUGCUCCAGGCUAUCAGGUUCAUCUGAAAGGUGCACAUUACAAGAUUGUGCCUACUCACAACCUGGGUUAAUAUAAAAAUACUCUUUGCUGGAAAAUUAGAUGAUACUAGAAAAAUCUAGAUGAUGCUAGAAAAGACCCACAAGAGAAUACCUCUUCGAGUACAUAUAAAAUUCCACAAUUGUGAGAAUUCCAGGGGAGAUUUGGAAGGAAAUUUUAAUACCUCUCCUUCAGUUGCUUGACUUCUGUAAGAAAUACGUGUAGUUGUACGCAGGUACUAUGAUGAUGUUCACUAAAGCCUGUGGGGAAGUUCUAUUUCUUGUAUCUGUUUCCUUCUGCAGCUCCAUCAGCUUAUCUGGGGUUGCACGGAACAUGGUUAGGUUAAGAAGUCAAGCCAGUACCUUUAAUGCUGAUAUCAGAAAGUGGUCAAGUAAGCAGGCAGCUUUCGCAUGGAUCUGGAAACAAGUUUGGAACAGGUAGGCUGAUUUAGGCAAGCUUUUCAAGUUACAUAAAGGCUGUUCAUACAUUGACCUGCCCUUCCUUCAUGAAGCAAAGGUGGAGAAAAAAAAAGUACAAUCUUCAGCCCUUUCCCAGUCCCUGUUCUAAGAAUACAAAUAUUAGGCAUGCACAAAUACCCCUGAUAAUGUUUCAUAGAAAAUUCUCCAGGCUCUUCCUGAAGGAAUGAAACUGGAUGUUGACAAUGCCAUUUACCAAAAUAUCAAGUGAAAGACAAGAGCUUUCCACUACAAGUAAAAUGCAACACAUAUCUGAAAAAUAUGGCAGUAGACUCUCCCUAUAUAAAAACAUAAGGCCAAUGCCUCCUCAAGAUUCUCCGUGAUGAGGUUCACUUUGAAGAUGAUCAAGAAAGGUUUCUGCAGAAACCUAUCUGUCAAAUCCACACCCUGAUUUUUCCGGUCAGGUCAAGGCUCAAAUCUCUCUCUCCACCUAAUUUCUUCUCCCUGUCCCUCUCACCUUCCUGUGGACAAGGGACAGCAUGAGAGUGAUUCCGAGAUAAAAUUCCUGCUUCUCUGAAGUCAGUAGUAAAUUUCUUGACUGUAAUGGAGACAGGAUUUCAUUCAACAUUCUUACCUAAAAAUAAAGUCAAACUGCCUGGACAGUAACUGUGACAGCAACAAUAUAGGAACUCUGCAAAAAAAAGCUAAAAAAACAAGCAAACAAACAAACAAAAAAAAAAAGAACAUAAAUUUGUAAUUAAUUGGUUAGAGAGUGAAAUUGCUUUGCCUAAAAAAAAAAACAAAAAACCAAACCAAACAAACAAAAAAACAACCUCUACUGCUUUGACAAUAACUCAGUUAUUUACUUAAGGAGUUGCUGUACCACUGUCACAAUUAUAUCACUUUCAGGAUAGAACAUCUGUUGCUGGUAGAUGGUCUAGGAAUGCCAAAUAUAAUCUAGAGUUUAUUUUCCAAUAUAAUUCACAUUUUAUAUCCCCUGAGAAGUGCUCUUCACCUUUAUGAGCUGUCUUGGCUGAGCAAACUGGUGCUGUUUUGUGGUUGCCUUUUUUUUUUUUUUUUUCUUAUUUAAGAAGGGUGGAGAGAACAUGCCUGAAUAUGCUUUUCAAAGAGAAUGAUAAGAUUAUGCUCCAAAGUGUUAAGAAUACUUUUGGGUGUUUUCUGGAUUACCCUUUUAUCCACAGAUAGUCAAGAGCCUCAGGUCUUUUGUCCAACAAAAACAUCCCAAACACUAACAAAACUGAUGUGGAUGCAUUUGUCUAUUUUUUUGUUUUUUAAUUCAAGUUUUGGAGCCCUGAGAGAAGCUAGACAUUAAAAACAGUUUAAAUUUGGCUGUUUGGUUUGCAGCAUUGCUUUAUAUGUCCUGAGGAACACUCAAAGAUUCAGUCUCACUGGUUUCAGUGGUACUCUUCCAGGUAUAAGCUGACAAACACCAAGUGGAUAAAGGUGCAGAGAUUUGGAUGGAAAUCCUUCUUUGCAAGUUCCGACAUAGUAUGUUGUGUGAUAGCUAACAUCCUUAUAGUGCAGUCUAAAAAAUGCAACAGCAAAUUUUUCACUAGAAGGCUUUAUCAAUGUGGGCUGUGUGACUGCAUGAGCAUAUACACAUAUUAAGUUGUUGCAGCUUCCAACAUCCAGCAAACGCUAACCAGCAUUUGUAAAUGAACCUCUUUUAAACUGAAACAGUCUGGGCUGGCACUUGUUUAUGCACUACAUCCUCUUUAUUUGUGUGUAUAUUAUAGAGAAAUGGAAAUAUCAAUGAGAAUUAUUGCAAAAAUCUGGGGAGCUUUCCAAAACUGGAAGUUAACACAAAUUGUGGUAAUUUACCCCUAGAUAAGGGGUAAAGCAAAGUGAGAUCAGUGUAACACUUAGGGCUCAUUAUCUGGGAGGAAGUUUUGUCCUCAGAGCUUAUGCUCAUCAUCUGCAGAGGGGUGAUGUUCACUCACUGCAAGAUUAUUUUUUGUUUUGGUGAGAUCUUAUUCUCACUACUCCUUACAGAGUGUUUUCGGCUGCAGAAGAUGUGGUUUCUUUACUAACCACUUAUGUGCUGGCCAGAGGAUUUAUGUAUUACUCUGUGAUAAACUGUCCUUGAAUAUAGUCUCUACUUUAUAAAAUAACAACUUCUUUUUCUUUAUUUUAUCUUUUUUAAAAGAAAACUAAGCAGUGAUUUAAGUAAACUGAAGUAACUUUUUAUGAUAGAUUAAGGACAAAAAAUACAGUUUGCUGUAUUUUACCUUUAGCACAUUUAAACAAUUUUUUUUUGUACCUUGAGACACGUGAGGAAAGAUUUGGUUUAUAAAUGAGGAAGGUAAAAACUGGAUGUAACCUCUUUAACAGAAUGUACCACAGUUCUGCUGUUUGCUGUGUUGACUUUGUUGUUUAUAAUGCAUUGUGUGAGCACAUUCACCAUGUACUGAAGUGUGUGUUUGUGUGUAUGGGGUGGGGGUAGGGGGAAAUCUUUUUAUGGAAAAAGAAGUUAUGAACAUAAACUAUGAAGCAACAUCUAAUGAAAAGUUUCUUUUUAAGUGCAAUAUAUUUAUUUCUGCUAGAAAUAUAUCAACAUUAUGUAAUAUUUGAAGCAUUAAAUGUUAUUUGUAAGCAGCUUAAAAUUAUAUAUAUAUCACAAAAAUUGUACAGAAGUGCAAAUGUGUGGAUAUUCAGUUUCUUUCAUUAAAAUAUUGGGUGUUUUGA